CCUACGGGAGGCAGCAGUGGGGAAUAUUGCGCAAUGGGGGAAACCCUGACGCAGCGACGCCGCGUGUGGGAUGAAGGUCUUCGGAUUGUAAACCACUGUCGGGAGGGACGAAGCUCUGACGGUACCUCCAAAGGAAGCACCGGCUAACUCUGUGCCAGCAGCCGCGGUAAUACAGAGGGUGCGAGCGUUGUCCGGAAUCACUGGGCGUAAAGGGCGCGUAGGCGGCCGGGUAAGUAGGGGGUUGAAAUCUCACGGCUCAACCGUGAGGCUGCCUUCUAGACUGCCUGGCUCGAGCACAGUAGAGGCGAGUGGAAUUCCCGGUGUAGCGGUGGAAUGCGUAGAGAUCGGGAAGAACAUCGGUGGCGAAGGCGGCUCGCUGGGCUGUUGCUGACGCUGAGGCGCGAAAGCGUGGGGAGCAAACAGGAUUAGAUACCCUGGUAGUCCACGCUGUAAACGAUGGGUGCUAGGCGUCGGGGGGAGCGACCCUUCGGUGCCGUCGCUAACGCAUAAGCCACCCGCCGUCGGAGACGGUCGCGAGACGAGAACGACGAAGUAAGUAGUAGUUACGUUGUAGAGACGCGACGACGCGACGACGGAGGAGG
rnacentral:rRNA from 1 species